GCAUGUGCGUCACGCCCAAGCCUGCUCCCGCCGAGCUCAGUUUCUUCCACAGCAGGGCAUAAAUUUUCUGCGUCAACUAUGUUCGUGAGCGAGCCCGUUUAGUUUCCAGAGAGGUGUUCCGAUGGGGCGAAAGGAUUAGCGCAGCGAGGUGUCUGGCUCGAAGUCGACGCUGCAAUGCGGAUGUCACUUCUGAAUAACAUGUCGGACCGAAGAAGGAUGACAGUUUUCGAAAUAGGGCCCACCAACGUCCACAGCCGUGUACGUAUGCCUGUCCGUAACAGUUGUGGAGAGAGAAAAAGAAGAAGAAAGGGAAGAGAAGGAAGAAGUUAUAAUGACAUCGAAGCUAUUGCUGAACUAUACCGAAACGAUUAGAAAAAUUACAGGACGGUUACGAUUGUGUAACGUGAAUUUCAGCGGUAGCUGUUACGUGUGGAUGUUUGGAUGACACUUUUAUUGCCUGAUAUAUGCACAACUACUUUAGAGUGACGAGUAUACUGCCUUCAGAUCUGUGAAGUGAGUGGUGACGUGUAGAGCUGUGAUUAGAUAUACAAAAAUGUGACAAAAAUAUUACUAAAAUCGGGACAAAGGCGGGACAGGACACGCUGAAAAACCGGGACACUUUCCGGGACAACGUACCCAUCUCUGAGUAUGUCUAAACUGCUUUUAUUAGCUUUAGAUUAUUUUAACUCGCUUGGCAUCACUGAAACCGAAAUCGAAACCUGAGGUUUUCUAAUACAGCCACAGCGAUCUCCCAAAACCUUCUCGUUAACAGCGACCGCUGUGAAAGCAGUCCAGCCCUGGCCAAUGUCCCUUUGGCGAAUCUCUCUUCAUUGGCAUCAUCAUUCCAGGAGUUUUCCACCAAAGUAGCUGGUGCAAGUGAUGUGGAGUUGCGUGCCUCACACUAUAGUGAAGCCAAAAUCUCCAUUUUAUUUUUUCUUAAGAUCAAAUCAAAUCAAAUCAAAUCAAUCCCUUUGGUGGAUGACUGCCAGAGACGGAGGAAGAAGAAGAAAAAGACUGCGGGCGCCCGAAGGUCAGGAUAGGAAGGUAGACCAACAGCUACAUAAUUUACACGCGUUCGACAGAAUACAUAAAAAUCCAGUCGAUUUUAUCUUUCUAUUUCUUUAACGCUUUGCAUUGUACUGCCUAACAGAGUGAAUGGAGAAGAAAGAAACAACAAUAAUUAAUGACGGGGAGUGGUUCUGCACGAAGGAAGAACCAAUUCCUGCCGUAAAAGCACUGUAACGAACUUGUUUACCUUUGUCGUUUGAUAUUUUGCACUUUGAUACUUGGUACUCUAAUAUUUUGUA